UGACAACCAUAGUUCCAACAGCUGUAGCAACAUGAGCAGCCCUCGGCGUCGGUGGCUCUCCAAUUGGUGUGAUCCUAGACCAUUUAUUUGUCAGAACAUCAUAAGAGUGCACAUCUGCAGUAGCUCCUGCUAAGCGAAUUCCAGCACCUCCAGGAGAAGAAGGAGCUGCUGCAGCAGCAGAAUUCCCCUCAAGCGCAGUAGCACCACCAAAGAGAAUCAACCUAGGACCAAUAUAAUUCGGACUUCCCUCCUCUCCAACAGCUGGAACCGCUGUUAGUGUAUGUCCACACCUAGGGCCGGGACCAUCUUCCUUCUUCUCUAUAACAGACUGCACCACCGUAUAAGUCGGAGCACACCUCGG
rnacentral:misc_RNA from 1 species